rnacentral:rRNA from 1 species
AGAGCGCAAGGGGAAUGCCUUGGCAUCAGGAGCCGAAGAAGGACGUGACAAGCUGCGAAAAGCCUCGGGGAGGAGCAAAUAUCCAUUGAUCCGGGGAUAUCCGAAUGGGGCAACCCGGCUGGACAAUAUCCAGUCAUCCUGCGUUGAACAAAAUAGGCGUAGGAAGGGAACCGCCUGAACUGAAACAUCUAAGUAGGGCGAGGAAGAGACAUCAACCGAGAUUCCGCAAGUAGUGGCGAGCGAACGCGGAAGAGGCCAAACCGAGGGAUUUAUUCCUCGGGGUUGCGGACAGUCAUUUAGCGGAAGUUAUCUAGGAGAAGGGUCUGGGAAGGCCCGCCACAGAGGGUGAGAGCCCCGUAUCCGAAAGAGAAGGCCGUGCGACUGAAUCCAGAGUACCGCGGGACACGUGAAACCCCGUGGGAAACAGGGGGGACCACCCUCCAAGCCUAAAUACUACCUGAUGACCGAUAGAGGAGCAGUACCGUGAGGGAAAGGUGAAAAGGACCCCGGGAGGGGAGUGAAAGAGAACCUGAAACCUUGUGCUUACAAGCAGUCAAAGCACGUUAAAGUGUGAUGACGUACUUUUUGUAGAACGGUCCGGCGAGUUAUAGUAACGAGCAAGCUUAAGGUAUUGAGUACCGGAGGCGAAGCGAGAGCGAGUCUGAAUAGGGCGUAAAGUUCGUUGCCAUAGACCCGAAACCGGGUGACCUAUCCAUGAGCAGGCUGAAGUGAGAGUAAAAUCUCAUGGAGGGCCGAACCGACCCCCGUUGCAAUGGUGGCGGAUGACUUGUGGAUAGCGGAGAAAUUCCAAUCGAACUCGGAGAUAGCUGGUUCUCCCCGAAAUAGCUUUAGGGCUAGCCUCAUGUUAGAUAUCCGGAGGUAAAGCACUGAAUGGCCUAGCGUCCGAGAGGAUAGCGAAGCCUAUCAAACUAAGAAUGCCGGAAUAUUGAUGCAUGGGAGUCAGACAGUGUGAGAUAAAUCUCAUUGUCAAAAGGGAAACAGCCCAGAUCUACAGCUAAGGUCCCAAAUUGUAUCUAAGUGGAAAACGAUGUGGAAAUACGCAGACAACCAGGAUGUUGGCUCAGAAGCAGCCACUCAUUUAAAGAGUGCGUAAUAGCUCACUGGUCGAGCGUCUCUGCGCGGAAAAUUUAACGGGGCUAAGAUACAAACCGAAGCUUAGGCUGCACUUUUAGUGCGGGGUAGGGGAGCGUUGUGUAAGCGGAGAAACAGUAGCGAAAGCGGCUGUGGAGUUUACAGAAGUGAGAAUGCCGGAAUGAGUAGCGCGAAUGAUGUGAGAAUCAUCAUGGCCGGAAACCUCAGGUUUUUGGAGGAAGGUUCGUCCGCUCCAAGUUAGGCGGGAGCUAAGGUGAGGCCGAAAGGCGUAGCCGAUGCACAGACGGUAGAGAUUCCGUCCCCACCGAAAGAUUUAAGCGCAGGGACACUUUUAGAAGGUCGGAGCCAGGUGUUGGUUCUGGUAGAGAUCGAGGGAAAUUUAGUACCGAAGUCCGGCUGGAUAAGAGGCGAGAAAAGCUGCGUGUAUAUCUAAGGUGCCCGUACCGCAAACCGACACAGGUAGGUAGGAAGAAGAUUCUAAGGCCAACGGGAGAAGGGUUGUUAAGGAACUCGGCAAAUUGACCCCGUAACUUCGGGAGAAGGGGUGCUCCAGAGAUGGAGCCGCAGAGAAUCGGCCCAAGCAACUGUUUACCAAAAACACAGGUUUGUGCUAAAUCGAAAGAUGACGUAUACGAGCUGACGCCUGCCCGGUGCUGGAAGGUUAAGAGGAGAUGUGCAAGCAUUGAAUCGAAGCCCCAGUGAACGGCGGCCGUAACUAUAACGGUCCUAAGGUAGCGAAAUUCCUUGUCAGGUAAGUUCUGACCCGCAUGAAAGGCGUAAUGAUUUGGGCACUGUCUCAACAGCCCGCCCGGCGAAAUUGUAGUACCGGUGAAGAUGCCGGUUACCCGCGACAAGACGGAAAGACCCCAUGGAGCUUUACUGUAGCCUAAUAUUGGGUUUCGAUGUUGCAUGCACAGGAUAGAUGGGACUCUGGGAAACCAAGGCUUUGGCUUUGGCGGAGAGGCCGUUGGGAUACCAUCCUUGCGAUAUUGGAAUUCUAACCUGCGGCUCUGAAUCGAGUCGGGGGACAUUGUUAGGUGGGCAGUUUGACUGGGGCGGUCGCCUCCUAAAGA